rnacentral:rRNA from 1 species
AUGCUUAUCUGGCCAGAUGCUCAUGGGUUCAGUUACUUGAUCCAUUGCUUUCGGUAUCAAACUGUCCGCUACUUUGAGCAUCUGGCUGCAUACUCUAUUAUUAUUUUGUAUUUGGUGCACUGGACCAAGAGCGCACGGAGGGAGCUCUUCUCCGCCGCGCCUGGGACAGGAACAGGGAAAAUCCACCACGAUGCCACCAAUGAACAAGAUCCCCUUCUACACCAAAUCGGACAAAAGCUGGCGGCGCUAGAAGAACCAUCUCCCCCUCACGAGGCUCUCAUCGACAGCGAUCUUGGGGCUACCAUGAACAAAGACGAGGUCUUUGACCGAGCCUUGCCUGGAUCCGAUUGCUCUGCUGACAAAGAUAUGCAUUCGUCUGUGCAGGAUGACUCUGGCUACCUCCUGACGCCGGGGUCCGUCGGCGGCGGCUGUAAAGUACGCAGCGUGCUGCUCCCAGACAUGACGCGGCCCAACAUCGCGGAGGCGCUGCUCAUGGUGUCCCUGCCCAUGGCAGCCGCCGUCCUCGUCUUGCUGAAGCUCAGCUCCACUUCCACAUGGGACUAG